GCGGGGGCCGGGCCACGGAGUCCGCAGGACCUCCGCGGAGCGAGAGACAGCCGACCUCGGGGCAGGGCGCGCGGACCGGGCCCCGCGGAAGCGGGAUGCAGGAAGAGACUGCGGGGAGCGAGCGGGCCGUGCCGUGAGAAGGAGCUCCCCAGGUGAUUGUAGUGUGAAGCAGUUUGAAACCACCAGUCGUCUCCAUCUGUGCUUCUCUCACUUGAAUGGCCAUAGGAAUCAUCUGAGGAUCUUGUUAAAAUGCAGAUUCAAAUUAGAGUUUUUCCCCUCAGACUCAUAGAGUUCAAGGCAUACUGAAGAUAUACUUGCGGGGGCUUGUAAUGUGUGUUGUCUUCGAGCUGGCAAAGGAGUUCCUGAUGGGAACAGUACUGUGAAACUGUUGGCUCCUGAUUCAUCGACUUCCUAAUAAGCAGAAAAAUAAUAUGCAUAUUCUUCGAUAUCUAUCAUUACAAAGUUACUCCUAUAAUAAAUAUAAUACUUAAUCCUUGUUGAUAAUCUAGAAACUAGAUAGGCAAAGAGAAGAAAACAGAAGUGAUCCUUAAUCCCAACCUACUUCAUUUAAAAAUAAAUUGAAACAUGUAUCUAUCUCUAUUUGAAGCUUAUGAUUAAAAUUAUAAGAAAUUAACAUGUUAGAUAAAUACUAACUGAAA